UUCAAAAAUCAAAAUCCAAGACACGGCAAAGCGAACCACCCCAUUUCCACCAGAGAAGGCAGGUUUUAUCGACAGAUAUCAGACCCGAAUUCGAAUACGAACCCGGAGAAGAUGGGAAAGGAUCUGAGCGAUGAUCAAGUAUCCUCCAUGAGAGAGGCAUUCAAUCUCUUCGACACAGACAAUGAUGGCAAGAUCGCCCCUUCCGAGCUCGGGAUCCUAAUGCGGUCACUUGGGGGCAACCCGACCCAGGCCCAACUCAAGUCUAUCGUCGCCGAUGAGAAGCUCACGGCGCCGUUUGACUUUCCUCGGUUCCUCGAUCUAAUGGCGAAGCACAUGAAAGCCGAACCAUUUGAUCGUCAGCUUCGAGACGCCUUCAAGGUCCUCGAUAAGGACAACACGGGCUUCGUCGCCGUCGCCGAUCUGCGGCACAUCCUCACCAGCAUCGGCGAGAAGCUGGAGCCCAAGGAGUUCGAUGAAUGGAUCCGGGAGGUGGAUGUCGGGCCAGACGGCAAGAUCCGCUACGAGGAUUUCAUUGCCAGGAUGGUCGCCAAAUGAGAUGGUUAAACAUUUGUCCUUUUGUUAUUAUUUUGGUUUUGCUUCUUUGGAAGUCAGGCACAGAUUGAGAGAAUGCUGUGGAAUUAUCGAUUUAUUACUUUAAUCUCUUGAGCAUUGUUAUAUUAAUCUUAUGGAAUCAGCGACAAGAGGAAUAGAAGAUCUUAUGGUACAUAGCCAAAAGCCUUUAGAUAUUGUGAUGGCUUUAGAUUUUCUAGUAGUCUUCAACGGAGCUUCUCAAUGAAAUUGCUGUUUCAGGGAAGAGUUUUUGGCGCACUGAGAAUAGACUACUUGUUAAACUUGGGUAUUAUUGAUUUAAGAUCUCUGGUUUCCAAUAAUGCUCCAUUUACUAUUUAAUCAUGGGGAUCUUUUGUGGGGUGUGAAAAUCUUUCAGCGGUAUUAUGCACAUGCUCUUUGAUA